UACGGGGGGAGCAAGCGUUGUUCGGAUUUACUGGGCGUUAAAGGGACGGCGUAGGCGGUCGUGACAAGUCACUUGUGAAAAUUCUCCGGGCUUAACUCGGAACGGUCAAGUGAUACUGUCGGACUAGAGUACAGAAGGGGUCAACUGGAAUUCUCGGUGUAGCGGUGAAAUGCGUAGAUAUCGAGAGGAACACCUGCGGCGAAGGCGGGUUGCUGGGCUGACACUGACGCUGAGGCGCGAAAGCUAGGGGAGCGAACGGG
rnacentral:rRNA from 1 species